GCCUGGUUAGCUCAGUGGUAGAGCGUGUGGCUUUUAACCUCAAUGUCGCGGGUUCGACCCCCGCACCAGGCU
rfam:Tuber melanosporum whole genome shotgun sequence assembly, scaffold_42, strain Mel28